UAAUUUAAAUGACAUAAUACCUAUUUUUUUACAGUUUUAAAAAAGCAGAAAUUAUGAAUUAUUUUGACUAAUAGUUAAAAUCAGAGGAUGUUGAAUGGGUC